UACGUAGGUGACCAGCGUUGUCCGGAUUUACUGGGCGUAAAGAGCGCGCAGGCGGUCGUUCAAGUCGAGUGUGAAAGCCCCGGGCUCAACCUGGGAAUUGCAUUCGAGACUGAAUAGCUAGGGUGCGGUAGAGGGAAGCGGAAUUUCCGGUGUAGCGGUGAAAUGCGUAGAUAUCGGAAGGAACAUCAGUGGCGAAAGCGGCUUCCUGGACCAGCACCGACGUCAGGCACGAAAGCGUGGGGAGCAAAC
rnacentral:rRNA from 1 species